rnacentral:lncRNA from 1 species
GGAUGAUGAAAGAAAGGAAGCCCGAAGUUUUAGAGCUGGAUCAGGCCCAGUUUCCAGUCUUCUCUCCUAUGAGAAUGCCUGAGGCCAUUUGUUAGUGAGGUCGUGCUGUUCUUCCUGACCACGACUCAUACUUUGUUGUCACUCCGUCCUUGCCCUGAAAUCACUUAGGCCGGUCGGUAAAGGACGGUUGUACCUGGAUUCCUGCAGGUGGGAUUGGUUUGCUUUCAGCUUCUCUGUGUGUCCUACGGGGUCCCGUCCAUCUGCUGAGGACAGUUGCAGCCCAGCACAGCCCCUGACGCUGACAGGAGAUUGUCCCCACAGCAGAACCUUGGCGGGAGACUCAAGGCACAGGUCCCGGAUGGUGUGGGCACGGCGACGUCCCCAGAGGAGAUCAGAUGGGGCUUGGGCUCGGAGAAGUGGCCAGGAGCCCACCUGGAGGCUGGGGUAGAAGGAAGGGCCAGCAGGAGGCCAUAGCCUCGUGGACUACCACCAGCAGAAGCAGGAAUGAGCUGCGGGUGCCUCAGCACCGUGAUGAAUCUCAGGAUGAUAGUGAGUGAAAGAAGUCUGCUAAGAGAGUGGUGCUGUGCGGGUCUGUUCACGUGACGUCUGGGGGAGUGCAGAGCAACCUGUAGCAACAGAAAGCCCAGGGCCGGCUGCCUGGGAUGGGGGCAGGGAGGCCUGCUCAGGGCACAGGGAGACCUCGGGCUGCUGGAAGGCUCGUUAUCUUGAUUGUGAUGGUUUCAUGGGUGCGUAGAAAUGUCAAAAAUUCUCAAGUUGCACACUAUAAAUAUGUGCAGUUGACCGUACAUCAAAAAUAGUUCAAUAAAGGUGCAUAAAUAAGUGAAUAUGAAGAAGAAAUAAAGCUAUGUUCCAGUGCAGAGACUGGCUUUGGUGGGACAUGGCCGGGAGGAAGGUGCA